UGGGGAAUAUUGGACAAUGGGCGAAAGCCUGAUCCAGCCAUGCCGCGUGUGUGAAGAAGGUCUUCGGAUUGUAAAGCACUUUAAGUUGGGAGGAAGGGCAUUAACCUAAUACGUUAGUGUUUUGACGUUACCGACAGAAUAAGCACCGGCUAUCUCUGUGCCAGCAGCCGCGGUAAUACAGAGGGUGCAAGCGUUAAUCGGAAUUACUGGGCGUAAAGCGCGCGUAGGUGGUUUGUUAAGUUGGAUGUGAAAUCCCCGGGCUCAACCUGGGAACUGCAUUCAAAACUGACUGACUAGAGUAUGGUAGAGGGUGGUGGAAUUUCCUGUGUAGCGGUGAAAUGCGUAGAUAUAGGAAGGAACACCAGUGGCGAAGGCGACCACCUGGACUAAUACUGACACUGAGGUGCGAAAGCGUGGGGAGCAAACA
rnacentral:rRNA from 1 species